rnacentral:rRNA from 1 species
CCAAUAGCGUAUAUUAAAGUUGUUGCAGUUAAAAAGCUCGUAGUUGAAUUUCGGGAUCAGUACGCUGGUCAUGCCUUUGGUAUGCACUGGUGUCACUGGUUUCUCCCUUCUGAAGAACCGUGAUGUCAUUAAUUUGGUGUCGCGGGGAAUCAGGACUGUUACUUUGAAAAAAUUAGAGUGUUUAAAGCAGGCUCACGCUUGAAUACAUUAGCAUGGAAUAAUGAAAUAGGACGUUUGACCCUAUUUUGUUGGUUUCUAGGAUCGACGUAAUGAUUAAUAGGGAUAGUUGGGGGCAUUAGUAUUCAAUUGUCAGAGGUGAAAUUCUUGGAUUUAUUGAAGACUAACUACUGCGAAAGCAUUUGCCAAGGAUGUUUUCAUUAAUCAAGAACGAAAGUUAGGGGAUCGAAGACGAUCAGAUACCGUCGUAGUCUUAACCAUAAACUAUGCCGACUAGGGAUCGGAUGAUGUUAAUUUUUUAAUGACUCAUUCGGCGCCUUACG